rnacentral:tRNA from 1 species
GCCGCCCCGGUCGGCGGCCACGACCUCGGUGUUGCUGCUGUCGAUGAACGCCUCGGCGGUCACGUCGCGGGUGCGGCC